rnacentral:rRNA from 1 species
GGAAUAUUGCACAAUGGGGGAAACCCUGAUGCAGCGACGCCGCGCGAGUGAAGAAGUAAUUCGUUAUGUAAAGCUCUAUCAGCAGGGAAGAAAAUGACGGUACCUGAGUAAGAAGCCCCGGCUAACUACGUGCCAGCAGCCGCGGUAAUACGUAGGGGGCAAGCGUUAUCCGGAUUUACUGGGUGUAAAGGGAGCGUAGACGGUGAAGCAAGUCUGAAGUGAAAGGCGGGGGCUCAACCCCUGGACUGCUUUGGAAACUGUUUGACUGGAGUGCAGGAGAGGUAAGUGGAAUUCCUAGUGUAGCGGUGAAAUGCGUAGAUAUUAGGAGGAACACCAGUGGCGAAGGCGGCUUACUGGACUGUAACUGACAUUGAGGCUCGAAAGCGUGGGGAGCAAACA